GAUGAACGCUGGUGGCGGGCCUAAUACAUGCAAGUCGAGCGAGCGGCGGACGGGUUAGUAAUGUCUGGGAAACUGCCUGAUGGAUGGGGAUAACUACUGGAAACGGUAGCUACUACCGCAUACCAUACGAUGUGCCCAGAUGGGAUUGGCUAGUAGGUGGGGUAACGGCUCACCUAGGCGACGAUCCCUAGCUGGUCUGAGAGGAUGACCAGCCACACUGGAACUGAGACACGGGCCAGACUCCUACGGGAGGCAGCAGUGGGGAAUAUUGCACAAUGGGCGCAAGCCUGAUGCAGCCAUGCCGCGUGGAUGAAGAAGGCCUUCGGGUUGUAAAGUACUUUCAGCGGGGAGGCGUUACCCGCAGAAGAAGCACCGGCUAACUCCGUGCCAGCAGCCGCGGUAAUUC
rnacentral:rRNA from 1 species